CAGUAGCCACGGUAAUACGAGGGGGGCAAGCGUUGUUCGGAAUUAUUGGGCGUAAAGGGCGCGUAGGCGGUUUGGCAAGUUUGGUGUGAAAUCUUCGGGCUCAACUCGAAGUCUGCAUCGAAAACUGCCGGGCUUGAGUAUGGGAGAGGUGAGUGGAAUUUCCGGUGUAGCGGUGAAAUGCGUAGAUAUCGGAAGGAACACCUGUGGCGAAAGCGGCUCACUGGACCAUUACUGACGCUGAGGCGCGAAAGCUAGGGGAGCAAACAGGAUUAGAUACCCCAGUAGUCCCUGUCUCUUAUAC
rnacentral:rRNA from 1 species